AACGAACGCUGGCGGCAUGCCUAACACAUGCAAGUCGAACGAGACCUUCGGGUCUAGUUGCUCACGGGUGCGUAACGCGUGGUAACCUGCCCUUAGGUUCGGAAUAACUCCCCGAAAGGGGUGCUAAUACCUGAUAAUGUCUUCGGACCAAAGAUUUAUCGCCUUUGGAUGGGCCCGCGUUGGAUUAGCUAGUUGGUAGGGUAAAAGCAUACCAAGGCGACGCUCCAUAGCUGGUCUGAGAGGAUGAUCAGCCACACUGGGACUGAGACACGGCCCAGACUCCUACGGGAGGCAGCAGUGGGGAAUAUUGGACAAUGGGCGAAAGCCUGAUCCAGCAAUGCCGCGUGAGUGAUGAAGGCCUUAGGGUUGUAAAGCUCUUUUACCCGGGAUGAUAAUGACAGUACCGGGAGAAUAAGCUCCGGCUAACUCCGUG
rnacentral:rRNA from 1 species